CAGUAGCCGCGGUAAUACGAAGGGUGCUAGCGUUGCUCGGAAUUACUGGGCGUAAAGGGCGCGUAGGCGGACAGCUAAGUCAGAGGUGAAAGCCCAGGGCUCAACCCUGGAAUUGCCUUUGAUACUGGCUGUCUUGAGUAUGGGAGAGGUAAGCGGAACUCCGAGUGUAGAGGUGAAAUUCGUAGAUAUUCGGAAGAACACCAGUGGCGAAGGCGGCUUACUGGCCCAUUACUGACGCUGAGGCGCGAAAGCGUGGGGAGCAAACAGGAUUAGAUACCCGCGUAGUCCCUGUCUCUUAUAC
rnacentral:rRNA from 1 species